rfam:Citrus sinensis cultivar Ridge Pineapple sweet orange scaffold00016_contig_148, whole genome shotgun sequence.
GUAGAUGAUGAGUAUGCACUGGGCUCUGAGCGGUUCAAUUAACUGCUUAAUUUGAUGCACAUUGCAGCCUAGAAAGCUAUGCCUGAUAU